UAAGCAUAUCAUUAAGCGGAGGAAAAGAACCUAACHAGGAUUCCCCUAGUAACGGCGAGUGAAGCGGGAAGAGCUCAAAUUUAAAAUCUGGCGGUCUCUGGCCGUCCGAGUUGUAGCCUAGAGAAGUGUUUUCCGCGGCGGACCAUGUACAAGUCUCUUGGAACAGAGCGUCAUAGAGGGUGAGAAUCCCGUCCUUGACAUGGACCCCCGUCGCUCUGCGAUGCACUCUCGAAGAGUCGAGUUGUUUGGGAAUGCAGCUCAAAAUGGGUGGUAAAUUCCAUCUAAAGCUAAAUAUUGGCGAGAGACCGAUAGCGAACAAGUACCGUGAGGGAAAGAUGAAAAGCACUUUGGAAAGAGAGUCAAACAGUACGUGAAAUUGUUAAAAGGGAAACGAUCAAAGUCAGUCGCGUCUGCCGGGAUUCAGCCUUGCCUUCCGCUUGGCGCAUUUCCCGGUCUGACGGGCCAGCGUCGAUUUUGGCCGGCGGAUAAGGGUCGGAGGAAUGUGGCUCCUCACGGAGUGUUAUAGCCUCUGGUCGCACACGUCGGCUGGGAUCGAGCUUCUCGCACGGCACGCCUCUGGUGGUGCCCGCGCUGGCGUAAUGGCUUUGACCGACCCGUCUUGAAACACGGACCAAGGAGUCUAACAUGUCUGCGAGUGUUUGGGUGAAAAACCCGGGCGCGUAAUGAAAGUGAUGGUUGGGAACCCUUCGGGGGGCACCGACGCCCGUGGCAGACCUACUGUGACGCACACGAGGCAGAGCAUGCAUGUUGGGACCCGAAAGAUGGUGAACUAUGCCUGAAUAGGGUGAAGCCAGAGGAAACUCUGGUGGAGGCUCGUAGCGAUUCUGACGUGCAAAUCGAUCGUCAAAUUUGGGUAUAGGGGCGAAAGACUAAUCGAACCAUCUAGUAGCUGGUUCCUGCCGAAGUUUCCCUCAGGAUAGCAGAAACUCAUGUCAGUUUUAUGUGGUAAAGCGAAUGAUUAGAGACCUUGGGGUUGAAACAACCUUAAUCUAUUCUCAAACUUUAAAUAUGUAAGCACAGCACGCUUGCUUGAUGAACCGGCUGCAAUGAAAGUUUCUAGUGGGCCAUUUUUGGUAAGCAGAACUGGCGAUGCNGGAUGAACCGAACGCGAGUUAAAGUGCCGGAGUUCACGCUUAUCAGACACCACAAAAGGUGUUAGUUCAUCCNGACAGCAUGACGGUGGCCAUGGAAGUCGGAACCCGCUAAGGAGUGUGUAACAACUUACCUGCCGAAUGAACUAGCCCUGAAAAUGGAUGGCGCUUAAGCCGUGACACCC
rnacentral:rRNA from 1 species